UCAUGAGUGCUCACCUGGUAGGGGAAAGACCCUGAAUGUCCAGACCUUUCCCCUGACCGGCCAUGUGCAGACUCUUGGUGGCUCUGCUGUCUAGGCCCAGCAUGUCCAUGGCCUGACACUGAUUGUGUGUCUGAGUCUUCUGAAUGUCCUUCACUGUCACUGGCCUGAUUACUGCUGGACCCCCGGUGUCCACUGUCUCUGAAUGCAGAUGAACCUUGUCCGUGCCCAAUGCCUGAGUGUCUGGAGUUGUCUGCUGACUGCUGGUGGUGGGAUCCGUGUCUUUCUCCUGGACUUGAUUUUGCCUGUUCAUGUGAUGACGUAGCCUGUCCACGGGAGAAAGUCUCUGCGUGAUGAGUUCCUGAUUGUUUGGAGCUGUCUGCAGAGUGCCCGUGACUGGCUCUGUCUUCUUGAUGGUACCCGGGGUGUCUGGAGCCAUCUGUUGACUGCUCCUGAGCAGAUCCAUGAUGGUUUCUGGAAGCAGACCCAGACCACCUCUGAGAGUCUUCUGAGUGUCCCUCACUGCCACUGUCCUGGCUAACACUGGAUCCCCUACGCUUCCUUGUCCUGGACUCCUGCAGUGAUUCAUAGUAUGCUUGAGCCAACUUGAAUACCAUCAGAAGAAACUCAGUGAAGUCAAUUUUCUUGUUGUGGUCUAUAUCCAAGUGAUCCAUGAAGAUGUCAACCGUAUCUGGGUCAUCUGGAUUCUGUACAGAGGGAAGUCACAGAGGGAGACUGCAUCAGACAGAAUCACAUUAUCAGCCAAUUAAUUCAAAGUUAAUUUAAUGAAUUUGAUCUUUUGAGUAUUAAAAAGUGGGACAGAAUCUUUUUGUUUUUUUAAGACUUCUUCAUCUCAUCCUUAUUCAGGUGUUAUAUGUGAACAAAGAUGUAAAGACUAGUAAGAUGUCAAGAUUUGAUGGGGAUAUCCAGACAACUUGGAGCCAAGUCCCCACAGCUGGAUCAGACAACUUUGGUGACAUCUCACAGUGUGGAUUAUCAAGCCAAUGUAUCAGCCUGGAGCCUAGGUUUUUUGCCUUUAGCUUUGCUCAGGAUGACUUCUGCUCUUCUAUGGCAAUACUUGAGAAGCUACAGCUUUGAUUAGACAAGAGGCUAUUUCAAUAACUUUCUGCUGAUAAGAAGACCACCGACCAUGGACGGAUUCUGGCCAGUUUACAAAGGCUGCAUACCAUUGGGCAGGGCACCCCACUAUGGUAAACACUAAUAAUGAUAUUGCUCCUGAUUUUGUUUCUGAAGGGAAUGCCUCUAAGAUUUCUUCAUUAAUUAUGAGAGACUGGGUCUCACUCUGUUGCCCAAGCUGGAGUGCAGUGGCAUAGUCAUAGCUCACUGCAGCCUUCAACUUCUGGGCUCAAGUGAUUCUCCCAUCUCAGCCUGCCAAGUAGCUGGGACAACAGGUGAAAUUGAAGGCCAGCUUUUGGAACUCAGCCUUCAAAAGAACUUAAAAUUUCCAUUAUGUAGAGUCCUUGAGGAAACUGGAUCCACUAGCUACACUGGCUGAGAAUGCCCUCACCCCAGGAUUUCAUUUUUAUUUGACCACAUCAUUGUUGGUAUCUUAAGAUCAAUGUACUGGAGCAGUGAGGUCUCACAAAGAGGAUAACUGUUGACACACCCAGGCUUUCAGAAUGCACUGUGGGGCUUUAGUGACUUGUCCAGGUUCAGCUGAAAUGUGUCAUCUGGGACCUACUAAUGUUUGUUGAACUUUACUGGAUUUCAGAAGCUGGGUCUCAGAAGCUCAGAUGUUCCUUGGAGCUACGAUAUCAACAGCCUGUGAUGACGGAGAGAAGGUUGCUCCAUGAUGGAUUUGGAAACUUACUGGCUAGCUAAACCUGACUGAAUGGGAAGGAAUGUGGAUAGCUUUGGAACUCUAGUUUCACUAGAUGAGCUGGAAUUUGUAUUUUGACAAAUUGCACGUUAUGAUUAUUAAGUAAUGCAACUGAUUUUUUUUCCCUUAAAACAAACAAUCUAGAAUCUGUGUAAUCAAAAUAAUUUCUCUAAAAGGCUGCAAGUAUAUGCUUAAAAUUUUGGGGCAUUCAGAGCAUUUGGAACAUUACAUUCUUUUGAAUGUCAAUUGGUAGAUGAAAAUACCAGCUUUUAAGUCAUACAUUUGAUUUUUUGAAACAUUAAUAUGCAUUUAGAGUUUGUAAGUCAAGUGAGUAAUUGAUAAGGCAAAAAAAGGGGGAGUUCAUUGUUGAGUAUGAAUUUAAAGUAACCAGACUUCCUUUUUUCCAGUGGCUCUCAGUAAUUUACUUCAGCAGGCAUUUUUUUUUUUUGAGGAUGUUCUAUGAUAUGAUGACCCUUCUUGUAGGAAUGUGCUUCCAGUGGUGAGGCAGUCUGAGAAUGUGGGAAGCAGUAUAAUGAAGCCAGACCAAGAUUGAAGCUUGGCGUGGGAUUUGAGCAUGAGGAAAACUGUUGAAGGGUUAUGUAUACAUCUCACACACACACACACACACACACACACACACACACACUCUCUCUCUCUCUCUUCCGUACUCCCACAACAAUGUAUAGUAUUUACUAUACCUGGUGACAGAUAAUUACUAUACAUUGUCGAAGAUCUAUAACAUGGAAUGCCUAGUGCUAAGUGCAGUGUCCUUAGUGAAAUUAUAUUGGUUUGGAAUUAUUUAUGAGUUUGGGAUUAUUUGUCACUACGCUUAAAUGAUCGCGACACUCACCUAUUUGAAAAGAUAUUGAGGAUUUGCCAUUUGAUAUUGACCAGGGUGUAUUGUGCACAAAUAUUGUGAAUAUACAUCUCUCUGUCCUUAAAUCACUGUAAGUUUUAACUGGAAUAGAUUUGCUCCACAAUACUCAGUAGGGCUGAUAUUUCAUGCCUCAUGGAUGAGAAAAGAAUUGGCAAAAAUUAUAUCUCGGGCUGCCUCACACAUCUUUUAACAGGAUAAGGGAAAAAUAAAUAUAAGACCUAUGAGUUAUGGCAUCAGGCUUGAACUUUAAUUUAUGAAUUAAACCAAAAAUAUUAUUGAUUAUUGC
rnacentral:antisense_RNA from 1 species